rnacentral:misc_RNA from 1 species
AAAUGCGAUAAGUAAUGUGAAUUGCAGAAUUCCGUGAAUCAUCGAAUCUUUGAACGCACAUUGCGCCCCCUGGCAUUCCGGGGGGCAUGCCUGUCCGAGCGUCAUUUCUGCCCUCAAGCACGGCUUGUGUGUUGGGUGUGGUCCCCCCGGGGACCUGCCCGAAAGGCAGCGGCGACGUCCGUCUGGUCCUCGAGCGUAUGGGGCUCUGUCACUCGCUCGGGAAGGACCUGCGGGGGUUGGUCACCACCAUAUUUCACCACGGUUGACCUCGGAUCAGGUAGGAGUUACCCGCUGAACUUAGGC